CACGUAGGGCGCAAGCGUUGUCCGGAAUUAUUGGGCGUAAAGAGCUUGUAGGCGGUCUGUUGCGUCCGCUGUGAAAGCUCGGGGCUUAACCCCGAGCCUGCAGUGGAUACGGGCAGACUAGAGGUAGGUAGGGGAGAAUGGAAUUCCUGGUGUAGCGGUGGAAUGCGCAGAUAUCAGGAGGAACACCGAUGGCGAAGGCAGGUCACUGGGCCGCAACUGACGCUGAGGAGCGAAAGCAUGGGGAGCGAACAGG
rnacentral:rRNA from 1 species